CAGAUCUCAAGUCUGUCGCUGACUCAGCUGUUCACAGUGAAUCCACAAAUGUUAAAUGUGAAGAUGCACAGAUCCCAAGAGAAACCAUUUCCCUUCAGUCAAACCUGCAGCUGAAUCCAGACUUGAAUAACCUGAACCAACCUCCUGCCGAGCCAGGCCCAGCAUCAAGACAUCUGUCGGAAAGCCGAGCAGCUUGUGAAGAUCUCUCGGAUCAGGAGAAUGUUACAGUUGCGGACUCUAGAGGAUUUGUUCAUUUCCCGACGUAUGGAUAUAUCUACAAAGUCUCCAGUGUGAGCAGUGAUGAAAUCUGGCUUUAAGCACGUCCUUCCCUUGCUGAGUUCUCGAGGGACCAAUCUGUCCCAUAAACGUUGGGGCUUCCAAACUGUGAGGACCAUGAUCUGCUUUACCUGAAAAGAGCCCUCAAUGGCCCAGUCAUCACCAUUCACCCCCUGGGGCUGCUGCUGAGGCCCUGUGUGACUGAAGCUGCAAGUUAAUGGAUGUUUAAAACAGGUGUGGCCCCCUACCACACAGUUAAUCCAAUCCAGUCAUUCACUAAAGCAAUGAGAAACAAUUUGAGUUAAACUAUUUUUCUGUCUGUUUUGGGGAACCAUUUUGAAUCGUAUCACUCAGAACGAGGCCAUUUCCAGUGCAUGACUCAAUCCUGAUGAGAGAUACUUUAACAUUUAAAUUUCAAAACUAACACAAGCUGAAAAGCCAUUUUUGUUUGUUGCUUUUUUAAUCAUUAUCUUUUAACAAGUUGUGCUGACGUAGUAAUAUUCGUGCCACACAAGUGCCAGACAAUGACCAUCUCCGAUGAGACAAGAAUCGGGCAGCCCUGUGGCUCAGAGGUUAGCACUGCUGUCUCACAGUGUCAGGGGCCUGGGUUCGAUUCCACGCUUGGGUGACAGUCUGUGUGGAGUUUUCACAUUCUCCCUGGGUCUGCGUGGGUUGCCUCCCAUACGCUAAACUGGCUAGGUGGAUUGACCAUGCUGAAUUGUCAAUAGUGUUCAGGGAUGUAUAGGCUCGGUGGUUGAUGCAGUUACAAAGAGCGGGGGAAGGUGGGUCUGUGGAGAAUGUCCUUUGGAAGGUCAGUGCAGACUUGAUGGGCUAAGUCUGGGGUGGUACGGUGGGUCAGCGGUUAACACUGCAGCCUCACAGCACCAGGGACCCAGGUUCGAUUCCACCCUCGAGCGACUGUCUGUGUGCAGUUUUCACAUUCUCCCUAUGCCUGUGCGUGUUUCCUCCCACAAUCCGAAGAUGUGCAGGCUAAGUGGAUUGGCUAAAUUGUCCGCAGUGUUCAGGGAUGUGGAGAUUAGGCGGAUUGUAGGGGGAUGGGUCUGGGUUGGGUGCUACAAGGAUCAAUGUGGACUUGUUGGGCCGGAGAGCCUGUUGCCAUGCUAUAAAGAUUCUAUGAUUCAAGUGGCCUCCAUCUGCACUGUGGAGAUUCGAUGUUUCUAUGAAAAUCUAACUAUCUCCUUUUCAAUUUCAACAAUAUUCACUGAAUCCAGAAUAAACAUUCUUCAACUGGACUGGUCGUGUAAACACAGUGAUGACAAGAGCAGGUUAGAGACCAGGAUUUCUCUGGCAAGUUUUUCACCUCCCGAUCCACGAAAAGCCUGUCCACAUCAAGGCCCACAUCAGGAGUGUGUUGGAAUACUCCCCACUUGCCUGGAUGGGUGCAGCCCCAAUAACACUCAAGAAGCUUGACACCAUCCAGGACAAAGCAGCCCACUCGAUUGGCACCACAUCCACAAACAUCCACUCCCUCCACCACUGACGCUCAGUAGCAGCAGUGUGUACUGUUUACAAGAUUCAGUGCAGAAAUUCACCAAAGAUUCUUAGACAGUACCUUCCAAACCCAGGACCAUUUACAUCUAGAAGGACAAGAGCAGUAGGAACAUGCGAACACCACCACCUUCAAGUUCCCCUCCAAGCCACUCACCAUCCUGACUUGGAAAUAUAUCGCCAUUCCUUCACAGUUAUUGGGUCAACACACAGCACGGUGGCUACCGUGGUUCGAGAAGGCAGCUCACCCCCACCUUCUCUAGGAGCCAUUAGAAAUGGGCAACAAAUUUUGUCCUUGCCAAUGAUGCUUGUAUCUCAUGUACAAUAAAAUGAAAGUCCCAAGUUACCUCAAAGAAUCACUCAAAACAAAAUUUGCCUCAAAGGUAUUAGGGACGAUGAUCAAAAGUUUCUUCAAAGAGCUAGGUUUUAACAAGUGUCUUUGGAGCGACUCUGCACUGAAGCCCAUUCAGUCCCGUUCCUCCUCUAGUCAUAGUCAAUGUAAAUCAUGACCAUAACCAUGAGCUGGCUGAUUGUGUCAGUCUGGGGUUGUAUCUGCUUUAAUAGUAGAAUCUGUUCAGCCAGAUGUCUUCCAUUGAUGACAAUAGCAAGUUUAUCACAAAUAAAACUCAUGCCUGCAAACAUUUAUUGAAAUAACAAAGUUGGCUAUGUAAAGAUAGCUGGAACACGUGUUCUGAUAUCCUAAACUCAGCAUGGGGCAAACAUGGAUAACAGACAAUUUUUUUCUUCUUUACUCAUGGAACGUCUGUGUCUCGGGCUGGGUCAGCAGUUAUUGUCCAUGUUGUAGGCCUGGAGUCAUAUAUAGGCCAGAGGAGGUAAGGAUGACAGAAUUCCUUCUCAACAGGCAUUAGUGAUGUGCUUUUCCCCAACAAUGACUUCACUGCCAUCAUUAUAUCCUUAAUUCCAGAUUCUUUAUUGAAUUGCAAUCCUACCGUCUGGAAUUUGAACCCAGGCCCCCAGAACAUUAGAUAAUAAAAUGUGAGGCUGGAUGAACAC